rnacentral:rRNA from 1 species
UACGUAGGGACCGAGCGUUGUCCGGAUUCAUUGGGCGUAAAGAGCUCGUAGGCGGCUGUUCAAGUCGAACGUGAAAACUCGGAGCUCAACUCCGAGCCUGCGUUCGAUACUGGACGGCUAGAGUCUGGUAGGGGGAUCUGGAAUUCCUGGUGUAGCGGUGAAAUUCUUAGAUAUUAGGAGGAACACCGGAGGCGAAGGCGGUCAUCUGGGCUACAACUGACGCUGAUGCACGAAAGCGUGGGGAGCAAACAGG